rnacentral:rRNA from 1 species
UACGAAGGGGGCUAGCGUUGCUCGGAAUUACUGGGCGUAAAGGGCGCGUAGGCGGAUAUCUAAGUUGGGGGUGAAAUCCCGGGGCUCAACCUCGGAAUUGCCUUCAAAACUGGAUAUCUUGAGUUCGGGAGAGGUGAGUGGAACUCCGAGUGUAGAGGUGAAAUUCGUAGAUAUUCGGAAGAACACCAGUGGCGAAGGCGACUCACUGGCCCGAUACUGACGCUGAGGCGCGAAAGCUAGGGUAGCAAACGGG